GAUGAACGCUGGCGGCGUGCCUAAUACAUGCAAGUCGAGCGAACAGACGAGGAGCUUGCUCCUCUGACGUUAGCGGCGGACGGGUGAGUAACACGUGGAUAACCUACCUAUAAGACUGGGAUAACUUCGGGAAACCGGAGCUAAUACCGGAUAAUAUUUUGAACCGCAUGGUUCAAUAGUGAAAGACGGUUUUGCUGUCACUUAUAGAUGGAUCCGCGCCGCAUUAGCUAGUUGGUAAGGUAACGGCUUACCAAGGCAACGAUGCGUAGCCGACCUGAGAGGGUGAUCGGCCACACUGGAACUGAGACACGGUCCAGACUCCUACGGGAGGCAGCAGUAGGGAAUCUUCCGCAAUGGGCGAAAGCUUGACGGAGCAACGCCGCGUGAGUGAUGAAGGUCUUCGGAUCGUAAAACUCUGUUAUUAGGGAAGAACAAAUGUGUAAGUAACUAUGCACGUCUUGACGGUACCUAAUCAGAAAGCCACGGCUAACUACGUG
rnacentral:rRNA from 1 species